rnacentral:rRNA from 1 species
GACGAACGCUGGCGGCGUGCUUAACACAUGCAAGUCGAACGGAAAGGCCCUGCUUUUUUGGGGUGCUCGGGUGGCGGACGGGUAAGUAACACGUAAGUAACCUGCCCUUGACUUUGGGGUAACUUCAGGAAACUGGGGCUCAUACCCGAUAGGAGCUCCUGCUGCAUGGUGGGGGUUGGAAAGUUUCGGCGGUUGGGGAUGGACUCGCGGCUUAACAGCUUGGUGGUGGGGUUGUGGUGUACCACGGCUUUGAGGGGUAGCCGGCCUGUGAGGGUGCCCAGCCGCAUCGGGACUGAGAGACGGCCAGGAGUGCUACGGGAGGCAGCAGUGGGGAAAAUUGCACAAAGGGCGGCAGCCUGAAGCAGCAAGGCCGCGGGCUGGUAGACGGCUUUCGGGUUGUACACAGCUUUCGCCUGUGACGAAGCGUGAGUGACGGUAAUGGGUAAAGAAGCACAGGCUAACUACGUG